UGAGCCAAGUUUAGGGUUUCUUAAAAACCCAAAGAUGUUUGAACUGAAGAGUUUGAUCAUGGCUCAGAUUGAACGCUGGCGGCAGGCCUAACACAUGCAAGUCGAGCGGUAGAGAGAAGCUUGCUUCUCUUGAG
rnacentral:rRNA from 1 species